rnacentral:lncRNA from 1 species
AUUUCCUUAGAAUUUAAAAACCGUUUCAUUCUGAAAAGCAGUUAUUACACAUUCAUGUGAGCUAAUAUUUUUAUGGACUGUCUUAGUUCAGUCAUUCAGAUUUCAAAAUGUAAUUGACCCAGUUAAAGUACAACAGUUGUAAAUUUAUUUUUCAUUCUAGUUUUGCCCUGUGAAAUGAGCCUGUUUUCUUUGGAGAAGAAUGAAGAAGGAAAGCCUCAAAUACAUGGCUGUAAUUGUCUUCAUUAAAAGCUGGCUGAAAAGACUUUAUCCUGUGGGGUCUACUCUCUGUCUCUUUGAGGACCUGUAAUGCUGCUGGCUCUUAUGUUUCCCAGUAGGGAAAAGGGCCAUUUGGGGCACACCUCAACAGAGAUUAGAGAAUGAGAAAAUGAAUGUCCUGGGCUGAUGCAGUGUGCUUCCGAGCACUUGGUUUCUUUUCUGAUGAGAAGUAUUGCCCUAAAACUUCCAGUGCAUGAAAGCUGCCUGUGGAUAAAAAGCUGGAAUAGAACAUUUAUCCCUUCUAAGCCUCACAGUUUGUGCAAACAUGUUAAAGGAAGAAUUCACAGCCCUGCACCUUGGAAAAGUGAGAUCUUUCUGCACAGCUGCUUUGAAGUGGGUGCCAGACCAACAUUUGCUUAUGUGAUUGGCCAAGGUGACAACUGAUGUCAGAACAGUUUAAUGUGGCACAGCCCUUUUGCAUCCAGGGCAGGGUCUCUCAGACAUCACUGCUCUCUGUCUUUGCAUAAAUAUUUCUGACAAAUGCCCAUUUGCUCCUUGGAUGAGUUCUCUCAAGCCCUGGCAUAUAGUGCAGAGGUCAAAACAAAGGCCACAUGAGUAUGUCAGCAAUCCAUAAACCAGAGAACAAAAAGGCCAGGAAGGAAAUACAAAGGCCUUCCUCCAAGGAGGCAACUGAAAUUGCAAUAUGUUUUUCUUAGCUUUCAGAGUAAUCUGUAGAGCAAGGAGGCAGAAAACAAAAUGGAGUGGGAAUAAAUAGAACAAAAAUUGCCUUCUGGUGGCA